GAUCCACUAGCUCAGCCGGUAGAGCACCUGACUUUUAAUCAGGGUGUCCCGCGUUCGAGUCGCGGGUGGAUCACCA
rnacentral:tRNA from 1 species